CUGCAUUCAGAAGGUGUGUGUGUCUUAUGCUGAAGAAGAAUGGGGGUUUGCCUUGGGGCUUAAAUUAGCAUACAAAGGAAGAAAUGCCUUAAGAGGCAGAUCAGCAGGGUUAUUUAAAACAUAAACCAACCCAAGGAUGACAGGGCCUACAGGGCAGGAAGGUGUCUCAGUGCCAGUAGAUGGUGCUCUGCAAGCUGCCUUUGUGGGUGGGUUGAGCUCCGCACUGAUCUCAGUGUUGUGCAGCACCCCAAGACCUUUGUGACUUGUUGCUGCUCCAAUGCAGAGGUCGUUGUGACUUUGCUAGUAGCACGCCUAGGGGAGUUGUGCAGAAAGCAGAUGGAUUUUGUGGGUGUCUUUCGCUGAGUGUUGGCCUCCAGGACUCCUGACUUGACGUUCAUGCCAGGACAUUCAUUGCAAUUACCCUUGAUUUGAGAGCAGCCUCUAAAGGAAAUAAAAAUGACAGCUUUGGAGCAAUCCUGUUGUGCAGCAUGAUGGCUCUUGGCAGCAGGAGACCUAAUCACCCUCCUGAAGGCUGCUAUUCCAACGCGGGAUCUGAACAGACAAGUCUUCAAGGAACGGAAUCUGUAACAGCAUUAAAAGGCUAGGGAAUUGAAUCCCAGAGCCUCAGAGGGGCAAUUUCAAGUCCUCAGCCAACUGAAGUUGAACUGUACACCUAUGGCAAGCUAAUUCCCAGCCCCGAGCUUUACCUCAUCGUAGGUCACAGAAACGACAACUUCAGAAUACCUGGAGUGAUGAUGGAGUGAUGAUGUGACCUUUUGCACUGUGGGGGAGGCAUUCCGUGCUCCGAUGGCUGUGGGCUCCUGUUAGCUCCAAUCUCCCCCAUCAUCACCGAAGACCAUUUCUGUUGGCAGAGAAGAAAGGGAAGAAGCCCUGCCUGCUGCCUUCUCCUGAGCACACUGCCCGAGAGCCAACAGCCUGGACCACAGGAGGCUUCCAGAUGCUGGCAGAGAAGCAGGAAUCAUUACAACGGAGCAGAGCCCCACACAAAGACAUGGCAUGAUGUAAUGGACUGCUCUGAAGGGGAGCUCACUGUUCUUCAGAAGGAGAGCUGUUACAACACGGAGAAUAGAUCUGCGGGGCUGAUCCAGGUGUGCUGGUUCUGAUGGGAGCCGGGAGAGAAACGGAGCAGGAGCUCCUGACACCCGCCGGCAGGCGAUGAAUUAGUGCAGCACAGCUGGAGCUGCUUGAGGGCUGCAGAUGCAAAUCCCAGAGCUGUUCCUGCAUGUACCGGAGACAGUGCGGCCAGUCUGGGGGUUCCCAUAUAUAAGAUAUGUCGAGGUGCUAGAGCGAAGCUGAGAAAAAAUGUAUCUUUGAAGAGGCAAAGUGGACAUGUCAUUGAUGUCUAUGGUUAUUAAGAGGGGGAUGUGCAGAAGGGAGAACCAGACUGUCCUUGGAGAUGCACGGCGACAGGACGAGAGGCAACAAGCACAAAUGGCAGCAUGGAAAUUCUCAAUAGAGAGUGAAAAAUGCCCACCAUGAGAAUGUUCAAAUGGCAGACUGGGAGCCCAGAAAGGCUGUGAGACUCCAGUGUAUGAGAUGCUCAAAACUCAGCCGGACAUAGCAGCCUGGUAAGAUGGGCCUGCAUGGACUGGAAGCCAUGCUUUUAAUUGCAGCUGGUGUGACCUCUGUGUGACACUGGGGUGACAUUAUCCAAGCCUCUUAAGCAGAAGCCCGGUCCCAUCCCAGUUAAAUCUGCCAGGUGAGUCCACUUACUUCUAAAUGAUGUUGGUCUCUAUCAGCAUUGCAGGAUGCAUCUUGCUGCCACUGUCCUCUCCUAGGGGCAGUUUCAAGCACAACCCUUUGAAACACGAAGCAGGAGUGGGAUGCUAGGUAUGGCUCCCUAGAGAAAAGCCACUCCCAAAGCCAGCAGGAUGCCACAGCUCUACAGAGGGAUUCUGCUCACGGUGUCAUCACUUCCCAUGUGUGUCCCCUGUGGAUCCUGCUGUGACACAGAGGCGUCAGAUGAACCCGUGUGUCUCCUGCACACUCAACACCUGAACACGUCAGAUGUGCACUUCUGGAAGGAGCAGUGAGAGAUGCCAUCACUCACAGUCUGUCAGUGGCCGCUGCCCAAUUCCAGGCUCCCCACAGAGCCUGCACCCUACAAGAGGAGUGCUCAGCCCCUUCCCCAGCAUUCAGGUCUCAGUGUAACUCAAUCCCAGGGCUCUCCAUACCUACCCUCUGUCUGCAGAGUCCUUUUGCAGGCUUGCUGACAUUUAUAUACCAUUCUAAAUAUCACUGAAGCAUUGCUGGGAGAGAGGAAAUGUGGAAUGAAUGACACAGACUUGCAAGCAGCAAAGGGAAGAAGGUGGUGCCGAGUUUGAUUGUAGUAACUGUGCCAACACCCCCAAGGAACACAGCCUCCCACAGACACUGUGCCUUUUCCAGGUGAUGAAAUGAACUUCUUUAGCUUUAACCCUAAGUAAACGAUGGCCCAGCUCAUAAAACAUCCUGGAGCGCAGAACUGUUUACAGACUUUUAUUUGUCUUGAGCUUCGUGCUUUGUAAGAUUGGAGGUGAUUUCAUUACCUGGCUUUGUGCAAUGUCAUUCCGGCAACUGGAUCAUAAGUGCCACGUGGAUGUUUACAGUCAUGGGGAAAUACAUUAUGGCCAGAAAGGACGGCUGCAGAUUAAUAGAAAUAUUCUUCUGGAACACCCGAGGGCCAAUCCUGAGGAUCGAUCCUCUCUUGCUUCUUCUUAAUCUGAAUUCUACUUUGCUCUUAGCUGGAGCUGGAGAGAACCUCCCCUGCCCCUGGUGCUGCUUAGGGCAGGACCAAGCCGUCCCCUCCCUGUAAAGGGGCAUUGGAAUGGGGGAACAUUUAUUUCCCCCUGGAAUUAUUGCCCCUGCUUCAUGGUGGAUGGGAGCAGCAGUGAGGCACACCCAGCUUGGGUGUCACAUGAAACGGAGCUUGGUCAGCUUCCAGGAGUGGAAUUCAGCCUUUUCUUUUCCAAGAAAGGAUGCAAGCAAUUUGUCUUUAGAAUACUAUAAAGACGCCUCAAGAAUAUCAUAUAGUCUGCUAGUGCUGCAGAGAACCUCUUAAAAACUUAAUUGCCUGUGUCACCAAAUGAGGAGAGAGCAGUCCCUUGAAAGAUCCAGUGUUUUGAAAACAAGCAGUCAGUUCUAAAUACUUUCAAAUGGUACAUGCUUCUUUACUCCUGCUGACAAUAAGAGUAAUUGCUGAGCACAGGAUAAAGGAGAUUGUCUGAAAUGUUUUAUUUUCUUGUUGCAUCCUUUUUUUUUUUUUUCCUACAAUGCAAAAAGACAGAGGCGUCCUUGGGCUGCAACCAGUCAGACAGAGAGGUUUCCAAGAGGCAGGUGAGAGGCAGAGAUCUCAACAGCAAAGUGACUCUCCUGGUUUGAGAGCACCUCCGCUCUCACCACUCGUGCUGUGAGUGCUGCCUGCAGGGAUGACAGAUCAGGACGUUUCCUCCCAUCAUUUACUCACUGCACUGCCUCACUAACAUCUCUAUUAAUUCUGGGAUACAGAAGACCUCGAGCAUCUCCGUUUGCUCACUCACCUCUGACUUUUACUGUGGCCAUAGUGUUCAGUGUGCGUGGUUCCAUCACCCGGCCUGCUCAGAGCUGAUGUCAGUGUCUGCCAUCACUCUGUUUGCCCAUUAAGGACUUGUUGGCUCCCUGCAUUUUCCUGUGUGGCCCACGGUGCAGCGUAGUGCACUGGAAAGCAAUAUCCAUUCUAACGUGAUGUGACAUGGGAAACCUCAGAGGAAGCACAGGCUUAUGCUGGCUGUGCUGCUGCACAGUCAAUAGUCCUCCUUUAUGCCUGCCAUUAAAGCAGGAGCAAACAGUUAUGAUCUAUGGCUUGACUUUUUAUCUAUUUAUCUUUUUAUCUUUUUACCUUUUGAUCUAUAGCUUCUUUUUAUUUAUGCAAUCACCACGUUUUGUUUUGGGUUGUUAUUUUUUGUUGUUGUUUUUCCUUGGUAAGCAAGUAGAUAUGCAAAGCACAGCAGAUGUCCCGAACUUGAAGAGCCAAGGGAACAUUUCUUCUUGGCCCUUAGAUGAAAUGGACUGGGCUGUGCUCCAGGAAAUAGGAAUGAUUAAUCCAUCAUUGAACAUGAACUUAAACGAGCUAAAAUUGGGCAUUUUAGUUCUGAUGUAUGCGCUAAGUGAAAGAAUCAUUCAGAGGAUAAAAGUAAUGGCUUUGGGACGGUGUUGUAAGACAGAGCGGCUCUGCAGGAGCAGGAGGGUGAGAGCAGCAGGGCUGAGUGCACGCUACUAUGCUUCCUGAGUGCAGGAAUGGGAACUGCUGCAUGACCCCAACAGUCUGCAGUGUGGGUUCAGUGCUGUGACACACACUGCCUGCUCCAGCCCCAGCUCGGUGGCUUUAGGCUUAGGAUGUGCUCCAGCUGCCAGAGUGAGUCCUUCCUUUCGUUAUCCGCUGUUCUAGUUGUGCCAUUAGCCACAAUUACACCCUUAAGCCAGAGACGGCAAUUGAUAUUUUAUCAUUGGGAUUUUUUUGCCGUGGCUUUUGUACCCAUCUGGAGUGAACAAACUAUUACAAGUUUCAUCCAAUUAUGCUAAGUGUGGUUGGACACACUGCGCCCAGCACAAUCUCUUUUCAAUGGAGAGAGGGGCAGUCCGUUAUCAGCUCGAGGCACCAUCAUUCAUUAAGACAUCAUUUGCCUCUCGCCAGCAGAGCCGAAGCAGCAAAUCUGUAGGAUGUCAUAUUAAGGUGUGAUAAUGAAAGAUAGGCAGAACGGGAUUAACAAAGGGGUCCUCUCCACAUUAUACCUUCCUCUGACUACUUUGCUCAGUCCCAGCCUUUUAUGAUCUCCUAAGGGAACAUUUCAAAGGGGUGCGUGGAAGUUGGGCCCGCAAAUCCAAUUAAUUGCAGAUGUGGUUUGUGCCUAGAAUCACCACGCACCCCUUCAAAAGCAGCUGCCUGAGUGCAGCAGGACGUUGAAUGGAAAAUAUUGGGCAUACAGUGCUGGAGAAGGGCUGAAGUGGUCACCAAAUCUAGCUCCAAACCUGGCAGCAGGGAUGCUAUGAGGGGAAAAGUCCCUAUGUCUGUCCCUUCUUUCCUUCUUCCUGAGGAGCAGCCACUACCUGUGGCACUGGGGACUGGAAAUGCAGCUGGGAAUCAGCUAGCCCAAGAAAUCACCUGCACAAUCCUACACAAGCCAUCCCCUGGAGAGAAUGAACCUGGUGCCCAAACACACGGAGGGAACCUUAUUUCUAUCUAAUUUCUGCACUUAUAUGGCUUUUAUCCAAUUAUCAGACUUUUUACCAUCUAUAAUGUGUUCUUCUUCCCAGCAUACAGCCAAUUGCCCAGAAGGCAACUGCAUUGCCCGUGGAUGCAGUGAUAUGAUCAAGUUCACCCAAAGUCUGUGUCAGAGAAAGGAGCUGAGCCCAGGGCUCAUGCAGCAGGGACCAACCAUCACAGCAUGGGGCCUGGAUGCACUUCAUGGAAAAGGAUAUAGUGGUUGAAAAAGGGCCCAGUGUAAAUCCUGCCCUGCCUCUGCCAGUGCUGAGAUCAGCAGGUUUUAAGUCUAAUUCCAGCAGAAGAUUUCUGCCUGUGCCAGAUGUGGUUUUCAGAUGCUGCACUGUGGCUUUGCUGCAUUCCUGGCCAACUGCAGCCAAGCAGACCCCUGGAGCCUUGCCAGAGAGGGAGAAGGUAAGCAAGAUCCCAAGGUGCCCCUCUCAACUGGAUGAUGCAUUUCAGCUUUGCUUCCAAGCCUUCCAGAAGGCACCAGCCCCUCUGCCCAGGUAUUAUUCUUGGGCGCUCUCAAAAUAGCUGCCUUUGCCUGGGAAUCAGAGAGGAGAGCUCAGUGAGUCCCCCUGAAUCUCCAGCUGCAGUAAUAUGUUGUUAUGAACCUCUACCAGAGCACUCGUAGUGCAGCUAGAGAGUCUGUCUGACAUUGCCUCCAGUGACCUUUUCGCUAUAGUCCAAGUGCCGUGGAGCUGGUGUUUCAAGAGGAAUUCAAAUGGAAUUUACUCAGGCAGAAAGGAUUGGCCUGGGGAUAGCCCUUCUACAGCUUCUGGUUCUCCUUGUCAUUCUCAUGGAAAUUGCAAUUCUUUAUGCAUGGUGCUUCUUCCUGCACCGCAGCAAAUGCGUCCCUUCAAGCAGCAGGCUGCUAACAGAGGGGCUCCAAAAUGAAGGCAUAACCCAUUACAAGGUCACAACGUGGCCAUGAGCCCUGACACCAAAACUGGCUGGUGGACAUCAGGCACCCGCCUCGAGUUCCAGGAUGCAGCUUGUUUACGUGGGAUGCGAGCAGCAGGGAUUUGUGUAAGCUUCGGGGCAUGGGGGAUUUGACGCAGGGCUCUGUAGGGCAGGGGGCAGCGGGGCAGCUGGUUGGUGCUCAGAGCUGAUGGCAAAGGGCUGAGUCCCUGCUUGGUGUGGGCAAAGUGUGUGCUGGGGGAGCAUCACAUUUCUUCAUGCGCUUUUCUGGCGCGGUGCGAUUAUUUCACACGUGUUUGUAUGAGAGCUGCUUUAAAAUGUAAUUUCUUUGAUUAAUUUGGUGUCUGUAUUUUCACUGUUUUGUUCGCUCCAAUUUAUGACAAAAUUGAACAAAGUGGGUAACAAAAUAUAGCCCUGUCAGGCUCCUGUCUUCACGGAUAUAAAGAAAAAUGUGAAACUGUCAGGCACACAAAUGUGCCAAACCCCAAGGAAAAUUAUUACAUUCUGCUUGACAUUUACUUUAAUUUUACAAAAUUCUGUAAUACCAUUAUAAAUAAUAAUAAUAAAAAGCAGCAUGGAAAUAUU
rnacentral:lncRNA from 1 species